rnacentral:lncRNA from 1 species
GAGCUCCGCCGACUGCCCCUUGGUUUCCGUUAUAUCUAUAUUUUUUGCUGAUUUUUGGGGGAUUUUCCGGCGCGAUCCCCGCGUCGCGCCACGCUCGGACAGGUUAGCCCUUCCGUCCCGCUAGAUGGAUGAGAUGAGGCAUC